rnacentral:rRNA from 1 species
CCUACGGGAGGCAGCAGUGGGGAAUUUUGGACAAUGGGCGCAAGCCUGAUCCAGCAAUGCCGCGUGAGUGAAGAAGGCCUUCGGGUUGUAAAGCUCUUUUGUCAGGGAAGAAACGGUGAGGGCUAAUACCUCUUGCUAAUGACGGUACCUGAAGAAUAAGCACCGGCUAACUACGUGCCAGCAGCCGCGGUAAUACGUAGGGUGCAAGCGUUAAUCGGAAUUACUGGGCGUAAAGCGUGCGCAGGCGGUUUUGUAAGUCUGUCGUGAAAUCCCCGGGCUCAACCUGGGAAUUGCGAUGGAGACUGCAAGGCUAGAAUCUGGCAGAGGGGGGUAGAAUUCCACGUGUAGCAGUGAAAUGCGUAGAGAUGUGGAGGAACACCGAUGGCGAAGGCAGCCCCCUGGGUCAAGAUUGACGCUCAUGCACGAAAGCGUGGGGAGCAAACAGGAUUAGAUACCCUGGUAGUCCACGCCCUAAACGAUGUCUACUAGUUGUCGGGUUUUAAUUAACUUGGUAACGCAGCUAACGCGUGAAGUAGACCGCCUGGGGAGUACGGUCGCAAGAUUAAACUUAAAUGAAUUGACGG